ACACACACACACAGGGUCACCUGAUGUGAAGGCAGAGCAGACUCCCCAAAGAGAUGCACCAAAGCUCUUUAAGUUGCUUUGAAACAGAAAUGGCAGCCAGGACUCUGCAGUUUUAAAGCAUCUGUUUUGUUCCCUAGAAGAAAUGCACACCAAAGUAGACCACUGGAUCAAUGGGAAAGAAUUCCAUCAUCUUGGAUGGGCUUUGCAUCAUGCCCUGCAGUUGCUUUACCUGUGUUUGGCUGGCAGACUGGCAUCCCUCAGAGAGCU